rnacentral:rRNA from 1 species
CCGGGAAGAAAUCGGCGACUCUAACAUAGUCGCUGGAUGACGGUACCGGACUAAGAAGCACCGGCUAACUACGUGCCAGCAGCCGCGGUAAUACGUAGGGUGCGAGCGUUAAUCGGAAUUACUGGGCGUAAAGCGUGCGCAGGCGGUUUUGUAAGACAGAUGUGAAAUCCCCGGGCUUAACCUGGGAACUGCGUUUGUGACUGCAAGGCUAGAGUACGGCAGAGGGGGGUGGAAUUCCUGGUGUAGCAGUGAAAUGUGUAGAGAUCAGGAGGACACCGAUGGCGAAGGCAGCCCCCUGGGCCUGUACUGACGCUCAUGCACGAAAGCGUGGGGAGCAAACAGGAUUAGAUACCCUGGUAGUCCACGCCCUAAACGAUGUCGACUAGUCGUUCGGAGCAGCAAUGCACUGAGUGACGCAGCUAACGCGUGAAGUCGACCGCCUGGGGAGUACGGUCCGCAAGGUUAAAACUCAAAGGAAUUGACGGGGACCCGCACAAGCGGUGGAUGAUGUGG